AGGGGAGAUGUGACUAUUACAAGACUUUUGUACAGAGAAAAUAACUAAGCAGCUCUCAGAUGCAAGAGGAGAAGUCGGAUGCAAUGUGCUUUGAGUAGAUCAAAUUCUGUGGCAACUGGAUGCAUGAAUUAAGAGCUGACUUGGCAGGUGCACAGCUGGGUGUCCUGGAGAAAGAGCUGGGUCUUGAGAAACCUGAUGUGCUCCAGAGGUACCGGCUGGCCCUGUACACACAGACAGCACGUGCUGCAGAGUGACAGCUACAGUAGAUGUGUAUUUCCUCCUGAUGUGCUUUAAAAGGAUAUGCCCUGCAGAUAAAUUCAAGCACUGUCAGAACUGACACCUUGCUCGGGAAUUAACAAGAGGCAGAGCUCUGAAAUGCCACCUUCCCAGGAUCAGAAAUGGAAAAGGAAACCUCAACAAUGCAGCCUGGCCCCUAGGGAAGCAAGGCUGAUUAAUGGACAAUUUUAUGGCUCAUUUAUAAAAAGGGAAACUAACAGAGUACUCUGUUUACUUUGUCCAUACGAUUCAUAUCAGCAUUUCAGAAGGAAAAAAAGACAGUAGAAGAAGAGUGUUUAAAUGUGUUGAAUAGCUUGGGGACAUCUGCAAUGAAGAAUCCAAAUUAUUGGAGGAUUUAUUACAAACAUUGCAUCUACUACAAUGAUGUGUUAUGGCUAUCACAAGAGCYACCUGGCUGGGAAUUGCACACUGGAAAGAACAA